rnacentral:rRNA from 1 species
GAUGAACGCUGGCGGCGUGCCUAACACAUGCAAGUCGAGCGAUUUACUUCGGUAAAGAGCGGCGGACGGGUGAGUAACGCGUGGGUAACCUGCCUCAUACACAUGGAUAACAUACCGAAAGGUAUGCUAAUACAAGAUGAUAUAAGAGAUUCGCAUGGAUUUCUUAUCAAAGCUUUUGCGGUAUGAGAUGGACCCGCGUCUGAUUAGCUAGUUGGUAAGGUAACGGCUUACCAAGCGGACGAUCAGUAGCCGACCUGAGAGGGUGAUCGGCCACAUUGGAACGUAGACACGGUCCAAACUCCUACGGCAGGCAGCAGUAGGGAGUAUUGCACAAUGGGCGAAAGCCUGAUGCAGCAACGCCGCGUGAGCGAUGAAGGCCUUCGGGUCGUAAAGCUCUGUCCUCAAGGAAGAUAAUGACGGUACUUGAGGAGGAAGCCCCGGCUAACUACGUGCCAGCAGCCGCGGUAACAC